rnacentral:rRNA from 1 species
GACGAACGCUGGCGGCGUGCUUAACACAUGCAAGUCGAACGGAAAGGCCCUGCUUUUGUGGGGUGCUCGAGUGGCGAACGGGUGAGUAACACGUGAGUAACCUGCCCUUGACUUUGGGAUAACUUCAGGAAACUGGGGCUAAUACCGGAUAGGAGCUCCUGCUGCAUGGUGGGGGUUGGAAAGUUUCGGCGGUUGGGGAUGGACUCGCGGCUUAUCAGCUUGUUGGUGGGGUAGUGGCUUACCAAGGCUUUGACGGGUAGCCGGCCUGAGAGGGUGACCGGCCACAUUGGGACUGAGAUACGGCCCAGACUCCUACGGGAGGCAGCAGUGGGGAAUAUCGCACAAUGGGCGGAAGCCUGAUGCAGCAACGCCGCGUGCGGGAUGACGGCCUUCGGGUUGUAAACCGCUUUCGCCUGUGGCGAAGCGUGAGUGACGGUAAUGGGUAAAGAAGCACCGGCUAACUACGUG